rnacentral:lncRNA from 1 species
AUGGGAGAAAAUGAGAAGGAGAAACACAGAGUUUCUACAUCCAUGGUAGCUGAUGAGCUUUGGGCCACUCACAUCGCUGUUGUUAAACAAGGCAAGGUGUUGAACGUGUCAAAAGAAAAUGGUCACCACCAUCUCCCAAGGGACAGGUGUUCAAAUCAAGGAAAAUUCAAAGUACACAUGAGGAAAGCAGAUUUCUAGUCUUCUAAGAUGGAAAGACAAGGAAAAUGAAACACUUCAUAUCGAUCUGAAUAGUGGCAGUGACCCUCACUCCUGGAUCAGGUCAGGGUCAGUUUUCUCAGUGAAGAUCAGGACAAUUUUCAAGAAGAGCCCUUGGAAGCAUGCCACAGGUGAGCUGUCUCUCCUUGUCUUCUGUUCUUGCUCUCUCCAGGACAAGAAUAUUCUCUCUCUAAGCCCAUGGGGCCCACUGGAGGUACCCAGGCAGCACCAAGUCUUGUAUGGCUUGCAAAGGUCACAGGAGAAGCAGAGAAGCUUUUGUGCUGCUGGCAGAACUAAGGCACCUGGUUUAAAAUUGACUGAGAAAUGCCACUAGGAACAACAGACCUGAAUUCUUCAUAGGCAUACCCAGAACAGGUUCCCCAUCCAUGUUCACAGCUUUCAUUUUCUCAGCUGCAGGUAGCUCUGGCUAGGAAAAACUUUGCAUUUCUGUGUAUAAUGAUAUGAAUAAACACUAUUCUAUGUAAAGAAAACUGUAGAAA